CCGAUUCAUUUUUUUCAUGUGGUUGUAAUUUUAAUGUUGUGUGAAACAUCGUUUCGACCUUUGAACGGGUUUACGCCACACUAACCCGCCGAAAUCAACACGGCUGGGAUCCCUCGGUCAGUCAUCUCAUUUACGUCGGCCACCAGACCGCAGGAGAUCAACGAACAACGACAUGCCAGUUAUUUAUUAACUGUUUUGGCAAAGUUUCUGACCCAGAAACCUUCUCACACGUAGCAUUGAUGGCUGUUAAUCCGACCCGCUUACUGCGACAGACGAUGGCGGGAAAAUACGCGAGACUCGAGUUAACGACCUGAUGAAUCCAAAAGUUUUGAAUAUAAAUACAUUUGAAGAGGAGAGAUUAAAUCAGUAAGUGGUCACCUCUAAGAUGAGUUUUAAAUCAGUAUUGUUUGCGGUUUGCGUCGUUUUGUGUCUCGCCGGGUUUAACUCGGUGAAUGCGUGGUGCAAAUGGACGGAUUGUCACACUCACGGGGCUCAUAAUGAUUGCUGGAAGAUCCAUCCCACAGCCACGGUAGCUAGCUGGAAGCACUGUUGGGGAGGAUUCGGAAAAACAGAGAAUUGCUGCACACCGACUUAAGAUAUAUCUGAUGGUGUUGAAGGACACAUGCUGAGCUCACUUCACCAUGUCGAAAUAGACUCCGAAUGUCAAUAUCAAGGAUUUGCGGCUAACAAGAUACCUGCGCUAAGAUGCUUUUUCAGUGCAGUUCCCACAUAAAUUGUGCUUUAUCUGAAUUCUACCACAGCCUUUUUUCAUGUUUAUUAUUUAUCUUGGAAUCUUUGAUGAAUAAGUAUUCCAUACUCUGAAUCCCACCGAGACCUGAUUUUAUUAACGAAUAUUUUUCCUAAAUUAUUGAUAACAACGUCGAAGAUAAAGUUUCCAAAAAACUUAAAGAAAACCCAAAGAAAUUAUUUAUAUUCUUCUCUAUCUAUAUGUACAUAAUAUGAUUCAAUACUAUAUGUUCUGCGCAGCUUAGCUAGCCAAAGUUGGCAAUUAAUGUAUGAAUAAACAAGAUGUAAUUUUGAAGAUAAUUGUCAUGGGAAUAUCAUGUAAAUUUGAAGAUAAUAGUAAUUUAACGAAGAAAUCUCCCACGGAUGUGAAUAAGCACACAACCUAUCCCCCUCUGUAAAAAUCCUACCCACGAUGUAAAUAAAGUAUCCAUUCUAUUCUAUUCUA